rfam:Triticum aestivum genome assembly, contig: Triticum_aestivum_CS42_TGACv1_scaffold_003357_1AL
CAAGUACUCCCGCCAUCCGAAAAUACUUGUCAUCAAAAUGGAUAAAAAAGAUGUAUCUAGAACAAAUAUACAUUUAGAUACAUCCCCUUUUAUUCAUUUUGAUGACAAGUAUUUCUGGACGGAGGGAGUACUAC